rnacentral:rRNA from 1 species
CCUACGGGGGGCAGCAGUGAGGAAUAUUGCGCAAUGGAGGCAACUCUGACGCAGCCAUGCCGCGUGCAGGAAGAAGGCGCUACGCGUUGUAAACUGCUUUUAUCCGGGAAGAAACCCCAGGACGUGUCCUGGGUUGACGGUACCGGAGGAAUAAGCACCGGCUAACUUCGUGCCAGCAGCCGCGGUAAUACGAAGGGUGCAAGCGUUAUCCGGAUUCAUUGGGUUUAAAGGGUGCGUAGGCGGGGCGUUAAGUCAGUGGUGAAAUCCUGCAGCUCAACUGUAGACUUGCCAUUGAUACUGGCGCUCUUGAGUGCGCUUGAAGUGGGCGGAAUGUGCCGUGUAGCGGUGAAAUGCUUAGAUAUGGCACAGAACACCAAUUGCGAAGGCAGCUCACUAAGGCGAAACUGACGCUGAGGCACGAAAGCGUGGGGAUCAAACAGGAUUAGAUACCCUGGUAGUC